CCUACGGGGGGCAGCAGUGGGGAAUUUUCCGCAAUGGGCGAAAGCCUGACGGAGCAACGCCGCGUGAGGGAUGAAGGCCUCUGGGCUGUAAACCUCUUUUAUCAAGGAAGAAGAUCUGACGGUACUUGAUGAAUAAGCCACGGCUAAUUCCGUGCCAGCAGCCGCGGUAAUACGGGAGUGGCAAGCGUUAUCCGGAAUUAUUGGGCGUAAAGCGUCCGCAGGCGGUCUUGUAAGUCUGUCGUUAAAGCGUGGAGCUUAACUCCAUUUAGGCGGUGGAAAC
rnacentral:rRNA from 1 species